rnacentral:antisense_RNA from 1 species
GGCUCGGGGAGGGUGGACGACGUGGCUGGGCCGGCGAGAAUCCAGGGGCUGCAGGCAAGGACGGGGACUCGUGAUGAAACCCGAAGAUCAGGGGCUGGUGGCAGUGACCGCGAGGGGCCUCCAGGCAGCCCAAUCAAUAUCGGACGCGGGGUCGGGUCAGCGGCGGUGCAGGCGGCAAAGGCAGCUAGGGUCUGAGCAGCGCGGUUCCAGCUCCAGCAGCACCGGGAGAGCGCGUGCGCCGCCCCAGAAGACUGGACGCGCCCUCGUGACGCCAUCAGCGCGCGCCGCCCCAACUUCCGAGCGCAAGCGUGGUCGCCCCCACAGCCUGUGGGCUCCGGAACGCCAUCCGACUCGGCGGCCCUCCCUGCCUGGCUGGCCGGUCCCCGAGGCUGAGGAAGUCCAUUCCCUUUUCGGAAAUGGUCCCCAGGAAGCUUCUCGGUGUCCCCCUGUGGCCGGGUACUGAGCGGGGCCCGGGUGGUAGGCGACCCUACUGCUGGCCCUGGCGGGCACAGCGCCUCUCCCGUGACCUGGGCCGGCCCGCAGGAUGAGCCCCCGGAUCACGAUCGCUGGCAUUUUAUUUACCUUCUUCCAUUACAACCCCAGGCGAGUCUCCCGGGCCCCGAGAGGAGGGGGUGACUGGCCAGGGCCAUCGGCAGCGGCGGCAGGGGCCUGCAUAGGGCUGCCUCGGGGCGACUAGCAGGAUGGCCGCGAGCCUCGGCUGCCUCAGCCCGCAGCGCAUGGAAUGUGCCUCGGGCCCCAGGAGCUCAAGGAGCCGCGCUUGUGAGACAGAGCUUGGGCUGCUUGGAGCUAGUGAGCCACCGGCCGCGGCACGGAUUUGAGCAGAGCUUCGAGGCAGAGGGAUGAGAUGAUGCAUCCCUUGAGGUCACUUCAGGAGAUGACACUCCUGUGGCUAAGUGUAGCUUCCCAGGUCAUGGCUCCCAGGGUCAAUGGAGAAUUAAGUGGGCGAUGGGUGGUGGAUGGAUGUGAUUUGGCAGAUGGGACAAAUGUGAAAACAGUGUAAUAAGGGCCAUGUUGGGGAGGGUCAGGGGUCAGGGUCUGGCCCAACCUGAGCAGAAGGGAGGCUGCUCUCAGGGAUAUUUGUCAGGUAGGAAUGGGUGGAGUGGAACUACAGGGCCACCAUGUUUCCCAUGGGUCACCCAUAGUGGCCUUGUCAUGUUUAUCCAUGAUCUUCAGUGUUCUCUGUGGUCCUCCCAUCACCCCUUUCAGACUGUCCUUUCAGUUCUCCACUGCCCCUGCAUCACCUCUGCCCCUGUUCCGUUUGUCUGUGUUCAGUCCAUGUUCCCAGGUCUUGAGGUGGCCCCUGGUUCUGUGCCCCUUACCUGAGACUCUGUGCAGGGAAUCUGUGAAAACACAGAGGAAAUAAAAAGUGAGGAAAAUACUACUCUUGC